rnacentral:rRNA from 1 species
GAUGAACGCUAGCGGCAGGCCUAAUACAUGCAAGUCAAGGGGAUCGCAAGAUCACCGGCGGACGGGUGCGUAACGCGUACACAACGUGCCCAAGGGCGGAGGAAAGCGGCGGGAAACUGCCGGUAAUACUCCAUGGUGUUGUUGGAUGGCAUCAUCUGACAACUAAAGUACAAGCGCCCUUGGAUCGGUGUGCGUUCGAUUAGCUUGUUGGCGGGGUAACGCCCACCAAGGCNCCGAUCGAUAGGGGGUGUGAGAGCAU